rnacentral:rRNA from 1 species
UACGUAGGCAGCAAGCGUUGUUCGGAGUUACUGGGCGUAAAGCGUGCGCAGGCGGUGGCUCAAGCCAGGCGUGAAAGCCCCGGGCUUAACCUGGGAACUGCGUUUGAAACUGGGAGACUUGAGUGUGGCAGGAGGGGGUGGAAUUCCCGGUGUAGCAGUGAAAUGCGUAGAGAUCGGGAGGAACAUCAGUUGCGAAGGCGGCUCUCUGGACCAGUUCUGACG